UCAACUCAGGUACUUCUUUUCUAUGUCUGUUCGAGGACGAACAAUUAUUUUAGAUGUGGAGAAUGUGAUAACCCAAAAGGUCAUCACUUGUUUUGCAUGUCGAUUAUGUGUUCCGAGGCCUUGAAGACUUCUUUUUGUCUCACCUCGAUUUGUGUGCAUAGUCCGGGCACGUUUCCGGAAAGCUUUUAUGUGAAAUCUAAGUAAAAUAAGGAAAUUGACCAUUAAAAUUAAUUAAAGAUAACUUUGGUCAAUAUUCAUGGUAAAUGGACCCGGAUCCAUGAUCUGACGGUCUCGUAGGGUCCGUAGUAAAAUAUGGGACUUGGGCGUAUGCCCGGAAUUGAAUUCUGAGGCCCCAAGCCCGAGAAAAGAAUUUUUAAAGAAAAUUAUUUACUGAAAAAUAUAAAGGUUUUUAGAAGUGAAAUGAUUCAUUUUCUUGAAGGUAUCGGACUCGUAUAUUGGUUUCGGAGCCCGGUACACGUUUAAAUAAUAAUUAAGUUGAAUCUGUGAAAUUUGAUAAGAAUCGGAAUUGGCUAGGUAUAAAUCGGACCUAUAUUUGAGAAAAAUGGAAAUUUUAAUGUUCUUGAGUAAUUUUAUGAAAUUGAGGUUUAAUUCAUAGUUAUUGAUGUUAUUUUGAUGAUUUGAUCGCACGAAUAAGUUCGUAUGAUGUUUUUAGACUUGCGUACAUGUUUGGUUUGAAGCCCUGAGGGCUCGGGUGAGUUUUGGAUAGGCCACGGGGUGAAUUUAGGCUUAAAAAAUAAUUGUUGCAGGUUUAGAGAAAGUUGCAGGUCUCUGAAACCAGGCUUCGCGGUCCGCGGUGGAGUCUUUGCGACUGCGGUGGGGUUUUCGUGGUCAGUGAUAAGCAGGGCUAUGUCUUCGCGACCGCGCUCGAUAUUUCGUGGUCCGCGGUGGAGCUCCGUGGUCGUGGUCCCUUUUAUGCGGUCAGUGGUGAGGGUCUGAGAGCGGCAUAUAUAAACAAGACUUUUCAGCCAUUUUUUAUUUUUCAAAAACUUAAAACAUAAGAGGCGAUUUUUCAAGACACUCUUUCUUCCCCAAAACACAAGUAAAUGAUUUUAACUCUUUUCUUUCACUCCUUAACUUCUUUUUACAAGUUUUAAUCCUAGAAUCUAGGAUUUUAAUGGUGGAAUUGAAAUUUUUAGGUAGAACUUAGGAAUAUCGAAAUUUGGGAAUUUAGACCUCAAAUUGAGGUCGGAUUCCAAAAUCAAUAGUAUAUCAGAGCUCGGGGGUGAAUGGGUAAUCAGGCUUUGGUCCGAAUUUCGGGUUUGGACUAAGUGGGUCCGGGUCGAUUUUUAACUUUUUGGGAAAAACACUAGGAAACCUAUUUUCAUGCAUUAGAAUUGGUUUAUUUAUACGUUAGUGUCAAGCAUGCACGUGGGUCUUAAGUUGUGAUCAUUGUGUUUCCUAAUGAGUACUAAAAAUGCCUAAAUUGUUGAUUAUCCAUGUUGAGCAAGACUUAUGAUUAUCUUAUUGAUAUUUGUUUAUUGUUGAGCAAUGGCUGUACUUGAGGUUCAAUUGUGAAGUUAAUUAUUGGUACAAGUUUAGUUAUAGUUGAUUUUCUUGUCGGGACGUAUUCACUCUUACUGUUGAUUCCCUUGACGGGAUGUACUUAUUCUUAUUGUUGAUUCCCUUAUCGGGAUGUUGUUAUUGCUAUUGUUUGGGUGAGGAAAGAGAGAUAAAGCACAAAGGGUGAUGCCGUGCACAUUCAUACUUAUGCAUAUGGUGAGGAAAGAGUGUAAAACACGACGGGUGAUGCCAUGCAUGAUAUUGUGAGAGAGUGUUAAUGCACGAAGAGUAAUGUCGUGCCGAUAUUGUGAGUGUUAAUGUAUGAAGGCUGAUGCCGUGCCAUGUUAUUGAGAGUAAAAGCACAAAGGGUGAUGUCGUGCCGUUUCUUUGAUUUAUAUGGUGAGGAUUAGAGUAAAAACACGAAGGGUGAUGUCGUGCACAUUUUCAUUACUUGAUUUCAUUGGUGAGGAUUGAGUGAAAGCACGAAGGGUGAUGUCGUGCACUUAUUGCCUGUUUUUAUGAUUUCUUGUUGUUAUGGUUCCAAUGCCUUAAUUGUUUUAUUUCACUAUUACUGUGAUUCUUUAUGUUGUUAUUUCCCCCACAGCCUAUUACCCUCCCCCUUACUUUUGAAUUCCUUCUAUUACUGCUAUUCUGCUAGAUACUGUUUAAUUGCAGAUUAUUUGUUNNNNNNNNNNNNNNNNNNNNNNNNNCUAGAGCAAACGGGCCUUAGCUAGGGGUUGCUUCCUUCAGUCCAUCAGGAGACCCGAGGUAGUCCUGCAGGUGUCCGCAGGCCUUGGCAUCCCCUUCCUAUCUAGUUUCUUUUUGUUCUUUACUAUUUCAGAGACAGGCAUGUAUUUAUUUCGUUCAGACCCUAUUUGUAGUUUUUCUUAGAUAGUCCGUGAGAUUGUGACACCAGUUCUGGGUGGUUUAUGUUUAUGAAUUCGUAAUGGUAUUAGCUUAAUCGUUAAAUUUUAUUCUUCAGCUUUAUUAUUUUCGCUGUUCAUUAUAUGUUAACUUGCAAUUGUUAAGAAAUUAAAAAUGAAAAGGGUAAAUUAAUCGGAAUAGUGGCUUGCCUAGCUUUCACUAGUAGGCGCCAUCAUAACUCCCGAGAGUGGAAAAUCCGGGUCGUGACAGUUGUCAGUGGCACACUUUAGGAGUGCACAAUAGAAGUUCCAGCUAUAGUCAUACAGUUGGGAUAAACACUGAACCCGGGUGGAUAUGAUUGAUCAGACAACGAGACCGGAAUGGUAAGAGUCGAAAUGGAUGUCAACUCUAGGAAACCAUGAAUAGAAAAAAGGCGGUCCUUGGCCAUUGGCCCAUGCUUGACAGAUUUUAGUCAUUUACUAUUUCAGUAUUCUAUUUUUCUCAACCAUAGUAGACUCUUGUUGAACCCUCUGACCCCGAGUUUCUUGACCACUCGUAACAGCUUAAAUGUCAUUUGUCAUUAGCAUUUUUCUCUUGGACCUUGUGAAUUAUGGAUGUGUUGCAGCUUACCACAAACCGACCGCCUCAAACUUUCUUCACAAUUCAAAACAAAAGACACAUUAGAAUGGACUCAGUCGGUCCUUAUUAUCAUCACAAUCAUUAUUUUAAAACUUUUUUUAAAAUGGACGAUCGAAUCUGAUGUGGGUUGCCUACGUUUCAUGUGGGAACAUGAAUCAGAUCUUGCAUAGUUCGGGAAGAUCAGGAAUAAAGUAAAUAAACUAACUCUUUUUUUUUGGCUUUUGAAUUUUUUUUAAUUUCCGAAAAAAGACUUAUAAAGAAUAAAGAAUUUUUUUUGGGGUUUCGAUUUGUUUGUUUUCUUCUUCUUUUUUUUAAAGAAUAUUUGAAAAGAAAGACUUCUAAAGAAGAAAGAAAAUAUUUUUGUUUUGAAUUUCAACUUUUUUUCGGAGAAAGACUUCUAAAGAAGGAAAAAGAAUAUAUUUUCGGAUUUUGAUUUGAUUUUCUUUUUCGAAUGAAAGACUUCUAAAAAGAAAGAAAUUAUUUUUGGUAUUAAAUUUUUCUUAUUUGGGAUUUUCUAAGGAAUGAGUUCUAAAUAAGGAAUUAAAGGAAUUUUUUUUUAUUUUUGAAAAUUGGGGUCUAAAAGAAAGACUUUCUAAAGAAGGAAGUAAUGACAAAUAUUUUUGGAUUUUUUUUUGAAAAUUAUGGUCCGGAACCGAUGAGGCUUGCCUUCGUAUCUCACAUUCAGUGAGAACCAGACCCACAAAGUUUGACGUUUUGACACAACCGGAAAAAUAUGAAUUUUGAAAAUAUUGGAAUAUUUUGAAAUGACUUUUCUUUUUCACUUUUUCUUUUCAAGAUUUCGGCAUAGUUUCAGAAUUUUUCAAAUACCUAAAUUUUCAAAGCCAGGUGAACUUUCUCUCUCCUACCUCACUCGUGGUUUUCCUUGAUUUUCUUUCCUUAUUCUAGAAGUCGGUCAACAUGCAAACCGAAACAAAUAAAUGCACAAGUAGCACGUUAAAAUGCAUCAGGAUUAUCUUUUAAUUUGGGUACACCUGUCCUAGACAGACCCAACCCCUAUGUUGAGUCUCCAAAGUCAAAUGCACGUGAUGCAAACAAACGUUCUUACUACGGAUCCGACAUGAGGCUAUGUUAUUCUAAGUUUAAAACCUAGGUGUAUUGUUCUAGACUAGUCUUACCUGAGCGGAUAACUCGAGCCGGAGGGGGGAGGGGGCAGCGUACUAGGAAUACAAAAGCUUCACCGUCUUUACAACUUAUCUGAACCUCGUUCUAAAAUUAGGAUAUGACUCUAACAGAAAAGAAGUCAUGCCAGCGUGCACUUCCCAGAAGAUUUAGAAGACUCAGAGAGAAGAAGGGUUUCGUAACAGUUUUAUAUACAAUUCAAGCAAUAUCAAAGCGGUAAAAAAUGGCAUUUAGCACAUUAGGCUCAAACACGUAAAACAAAUCUGACAAUAAACAAAAGCCAAGUAUAAUAGUUAUUCUAAGUUCGAAUUCUUAACCCUAAACCAAAUAUUCUGGGUUUGCUUCAUAGUGGCGUCAUUAGAGCAGUCAUACCUUCUUUUUCCUGGGGGGAUAUGGUAUUUUUUCAAUCAAAGUGACAUUAUUUGAAAUGUGAUUAUUUAUUUAAUUCAGAAUCUCCACUUGGAAUAAAUUAUGGUGUCCCAAGUCACAGAUUUAUUUUAAAUCCCAAAUCGAGAAAAUUGACUCUAUUUUAAAGUCUGCAAAACUAGAAGACCGGGUAAGGAAUUCUGUUAACCCGGGAGAAGGUGUGAGUCACUACCGAGUUCCGUGAUAUUAGCAUGGUCGCUCAAUUAUCAAUAGUUGGCCUAAUUAUCUGAUUUAAUACAUAUUUAAACAUAUUGUGCAUUUUUGACUUUCUAACAGCUUUUAAUUAAUUAUGGAAACACUUUGAGUAUUUAUGAAAUUUAUUUAAAUAAGUCGUGAUGUUGUGCACUUAUUGUUUUUUAUCACAUUGCGAAUUGCUUCACGUGAAAUGCACCAGCGAUUUACAACAUGUUUAUUUUAUUAUUGUUUGAAGUUGAAAAUCAAGUCACGCGUAUGUGCACCUAAAUUUGGGAUUACGUAUCAUGACUAUGCCACGGGAACCAUAGACAUAUGUAAGGACCCGACCAGUCGUUUUACUUUCUAGAAUCCUGUUCCCCUAAAUGGGACUUCCUUUACUUGCUUUUACUGAUUUAUGACUUGCAGGGAUGGUUAGUUCGGGAUUUGGAGGGGUUCAGUUGAAAUCAGAACACUUGGUUCCUUAAGGUUGGCCUAAAAGGCUAAGUUUGUCUCCAGUCAAUAUUUUGAGUAAAUGACCUCGGAAUUGGGAUUUGACAGUUCCAAUAGGCUCGUAUGAUGAUUUCGGACUUGGGCGUAUGUUCAGAUCGAAUUUUGGUUGACUCGGGAGCAUUUUGGCGCCUAAUAGCAAAAGUUGGUUCUUGAAGGUUUUAGAAGUUCUUUAAAAUUUGGUUUGGAGUGGGUUUUGGUGAUAUCAAGGUCCAAACAGUAUUCCGAGAUAGGAAUAGUUCUGUAAUGUCAUUUAAUACUUGCACGCAAAAUUUUGUGUCAUUCUGAGUGGUAUAAGUACAUUUCGGCGCAUUGAAAGUAAAUUGAAGAACUUGAAGUUCUUAAGUUUGAUUCAAUUGGUUUUAGGGUGUGAUUCUUAGUUAUAAUGUUGUUUCGGGCAUUUCGAGAGUUCGAGAAAAUCCGUUUUAUGAUUCCAAACUUGUAGGUAUGUUGGUUCAGGGCCCCCGGGGCCACAAGUGCCAAUCGGAUGAAGCUCGGACCAAUUUGAGAAUUUGGAGAAACAGCUAAAUGCACCAGGUCUGUGAUAAUCGCACAUGCGCUUGGCCAGUCGCAGGUGCGAGCCAAGCCUCGUAGAAGUGGCCAAGGAAGGGUAGCCCAGGUUCCGUAGAUGCCGUCGAUUCUCCGCAGAAGCAGGUACCCAUUCGCAGAUGCGAUGCCAGACGGCUCAGGCUAUUUCUGUAGAAGUGGACUCUUGUCCGUGGAAGCGAGGGCGCAGCAGCCCUUUGACUGCAUGUGCGGAUAUCGAUGGAGGCAGUGAUCCACAUUUAAUACGAGCCUAGAUCAAUUUUUAUCACAUUUUCUUCCACACUUGGGCGAUUGGAGAGCUUUUAAGGAGGGGAUUUCGAUCUAACUUUGUGAGGUAAGUAAUUUCUACUUAAUGUGAGUUUAAUACAUAGAUUAUGGGUAGAUUUUAACAUGAAAAUUGGUAGAAAUCAGGGGUUUAGAUGAAAAACCUAGGGUUUAAUAAAAAUGAGUUUUUAUCACGAAAAUGAUUAUGGAACUUAGUAAAAAUCAUAUAUUUAUGUUCCUUUGGGUAUGGGUAAUAACUUUCUUCGAACAUUUUCGGAAUUCGGGCAUGUGGGUCCGAGGAUGAAUUUUAGGAAUCUUGCAUUUUGGGUUAGGUUGUCACUUAGAUGGUUAGAAUAUAAACUUUUGAACACAUAUUGAUUAGUUUAUACACUAUUUGAAUAGUUUUGAAUUUGAUCGGCUCUGAUUUGAUGGUUUUAGCGCAUUAUUGAAUUUGGAAGUAGGCUCUGAAAUGAGGUAAGUCUCCUUUCUAACCUUGUAAUAUAGAAACCCCAUAGGUGAAUUAAACAAAUGUGUGUACCUAUUUGUGGGGGCUACGUAUGUUCACGGUGAUGAGAGUCCGUAUGUAGCUACUAUUAUGCUAUUGUACGGGUAGUUUAGGAUCCGUAUCAUGUUUUACUUGAAAUGUUUGCACCUUACUUGCUAGUUCAAUUACUUAAGUCAUUGGAACUUGAUAAAAGAAGCAUAAAAGGUUAAAUUCACUUAAUUGAAAGAUUUAAUGGAAUGCUUGAAUGUAAAUAUGAACUUUGUGUUACCUUUGAAAAUAAAUUGCUAUUUGUGGAUCGGGUCGAACACCGCGGUAGUAAAUGGGUGCAUAUAUGGUUUGCGCUGCUCGACCCUCUGGUAGUGCACAAUUUAAAUAUUAUGUUGGAUCGGGCCGUACGACCUCGGCAUAAUUUGUGCAUGAUAGUUCUUUGGAACUCUCCAUGAUUGUAAUUGCUUAAAUGUAUGUAACUUGUUAAAUGAUAUAACUGAAUUCGAAAUUUAUAUUUGUGAAAGAAGAACUUAUUUUCCUGUUAUUGAGCUUUCAGUAUUAUUCAUGAAAUCCAUGCUUAGUAUAACAUUUUAAUUAUAGUAUUGUUAGCCCAUAGUAAGUGUCAAAGUCGACCCCUCCUCACUACUUCUUCGAGGUUAGACUGGAUACUUACUGGGUACAUGUUGUUUAUGUACUCAUACUAUACUUCUGUACUUAAUUGUACAGGAUCUGAGGCAGGUGCAUCUAGUUACCCGUCCGGCGCACAUAGUUUAUCCCCACCUCGAGACUUCACGGUGAGCUGCCUUCCGAGCCAUUCUACAGUAGCUGGAGUCUCCUUUAUGUUUUAAUUUUCUGUCUAUUUCCUUUCAGACAGUUGGAUAACAUUCUUUUAUAUAUUCUACUAGAUUGCCCACAUACUUGUGACACCAGAUUUUGACGCACACACUAGUAGACUUAUGAUUUUGGGUUUGCUUACAUGAUUUCGUUUUGUACUUAUUACUUCCAUUUAUUUAUGUUACACUUGUAAAUUUCUAAAUCUUUUUAACAAAUAAGGAAAUGUUACUACUUAAUAGUUUAUUUAAACGGGAAAUCACUAGUUGAUCAGUGUUGACUUUCUUAAUAAUGGUGUUGGACACCAUCACGACCUAUAAUGGAAUUGGGUCAUGACAACAUGGUAUUAGAGCACUAGGUUCACGUAGGUUUCACAAGUCAUGGGUAGACUUAAUAGAGUCUUGUGAAUCGGUACGACGACAUCUAUACUUAUCUUCGAAAGGUCGUGGGGUGUUAGGAAACUAUUCUUUAUUAAUCUUCUAUCGUGCAGUUGAAGGUAUACUAAAAUCUCUCUCUUAUUCUCUCACAGAUGGUGAGAACAUACAUCAGAUGUUCCAGACUCGGGAGGAGCUACUCCCCUUAUUGCUAGAGGCCGAGGCAGAGGCUAGGGGAGGGCACCAGCCUGAGGUAGGGGACGAGGACAUCCCAGAGUUGCCCCAGUUGCACCACCAGUGGAUCCAAUAGAGGAUCCCAUUAUUGAGGAGUAGGGCAAGGUGACCGCAACAGCGCCUGCCCCUGUAGAUUUCAUGACAGCACCGGGCUUUCAGGAGGUCAUGGGCCAUAUGCUGUGAUUCAUGAAUUCUAUGACCCAAGCAAGAUUAUUUAUAGCAUACCUAGCCACGUCCCAGUCGGGAGGGGGAGCACAGACCCCUACUGCGCAACCCAUGGGCAUGUAGCUGCAGUGUAUCAGACUCCGGGUACACUACCCGCAGACAGGGCCCAGCCAGUUACUGCCGUUGUACCUGAGCCUAGACCAGCUGCGGAUGUCAAGCUGCAGAAGCUAUCGGACAUAUGGACUAGGCAACACCCUCAUAUCUUGGGGGGUGAGCGAUAUGAGGAUCCCCAAGACAUCAUUGAUCGGUGAAGGGACAGACUACACAACAUGAGGAUAUUGGUCCCUCAUGGAGUGCAUUUCACUACUUUCCAGUUGGAGGGCAAGGCCCGUAGAUGGUGGCAGUCUUAUCAUCUUGACAAACCAGCGGAUUCUCCUCCCAUGACUUGGGCCAGUUCACACAACUUUUCUUGGAUAGGUAUAUUCCACUAUCUGAGAAGAAAGAGUUACGGUAUCAGUUUGAGUAGCUCGAGCAGGGUCAGAUGUCUGUGACCGAUUAAGAGGCGAUCUUUUCUGAGUUGUUUCGCCAUGCACUUAUGAUACUUCCUACUGACGCAGAGAGAUUGCAGAGGUUUUUUUGGGGUUGCACUCUGGUAUUAGGGCUAAUAUGGCCCGAAAGGUUGAGAUAGGGACUUCUUAUCAACUGGUAGUGGAGAUUUAUUGGAGGAUUGAGGGCUACUGUUAGAGGGUUAGAGAGUAGAUGCAUCCGGACAAGAGGACCCAUUUCUCUAGAGAGUUUAGAGAUGCCCCGGCUAGGGGCAAAGGUCAGGUUGGGAGGGGUCAGCCUAACAGGCCCACAUAUUCAGCACCACCACCUCCUUGGGGUGCUCCGGCGCGACCCUAUUUCAGUGCCAUAAUAGAGAGUUCUUACCCCCCACCAACCAUCCGGGGUUUUUCAAGUGGGUACUCAGGCCACCAAGGUUCUUCCAGAUCCUAUUUCACUGCCAUGCCGGAGAGUUCAUACCGCCCACUAGCUAUUUAGGCUUCUUCUAGUGGGUCUUCAGGCCAUCAGGGUCAGACAUUAGGGCAGUAGAUCACCGCACUAAGGGGCUAUUUCGAGUGCGGAGAUUUCAGUCACUUGAGGAGAUUCUACCCCAAGCUUCGGGGCAAGGCAGUGCAGCAGGGCCAACAGUCCAGGAUUACAACACCGGUUGUCCGGCCGCCUAGAGGCGGAGGGCAGGUUGGUAGGGGCCGUCCUAGAGGUGGAGGCCAGGCAGAGGGAGGUCAGCCAGCUACUGUUCAGUCAAGCGGAGGCCAGCUAACUAGUGCUCCAUCCAGAUUCUAUGUUUUUCUGGCCAGACAAGAUGCAUUGGCCUCAAAUACCAUGAUCAUAGGUAUUAUAUCUAUCUGCGAUAGGGAUGAUUUUUCGGUGUUAUUUGAUACAGGAUCUACCUAUUCAUAUGUAUCCUCUCUGUUUUCUCGUUUCAUGGAUAUUCCUCGUGAGUCCUUGGGUACUUUUAUUUAUGUGUCCACUCCUAUGGUUGUGGAUCAGAUCUAUCGGUCCUGUAUGGUCACAUUCUAUGAUUACGAGAUGAGAGCGGUCCUUCUGUUGGUUGAUACGAUAGACUUUGAGGUCAUCUUGGGCAUUGACUAGUUAUCCCCAUAUUACGCCAUCCUUGAUUGUCAUGCCAAGAUUAUUACUUUAGCAAUGCAUAGUUGCCGAGAUUGGAGUGGGAGGGUUCCUUUGUUAGUACAGCUAGUCAAGUCAUCUCUUUUCUAAAGGCUCGACAUAUGGCUGAGAAGGGUUGUUUGGCUUAUCUAGUUUAUGUUCGAGAUACUACUGUAGAGUCUCCAACGACUGAUUCAAUACUAGUAGUCCAGGAAUUUGCCGAUGUGUUUCCUUCUGAACUUUCAAGCAUGCCACCAGAUCGCGAUAUUGAUUUCUUUAUUGAUUUGGCUCCAGACACCCAGCCUAUAUCUAUCCCAUCAUACCGUAUGGCUCCGAAAAAGUUGAAGGAGCAGCUUGAGAAGUUAUUAAAAAGGGGUUCGUCAGGCCAAACAUAUCACUUUGGGGUGCACCAGUGCUAUUUGUGAAGAUGAAAGAUGGGACUAUGCGGAUGUGCAUUAAUUACCGCAAGUUGAACAAGGUUACCAUCAAGAACAAGUACUUGUUGUCGCGUAUUGAUGAUUUGUUUGACUAGUUGCAGGGUGCUAGGGUGUUUUCUAAGAUCUACUUAAGAUCGGGGUACCAUCAAUUGAAGAUUCGGGACUCAGAUGUUCCGAAGACUGCCUUCCGUACUAGAUAUGUCCAGUACGAGUUUCUAGUGAUGUUCUUCGGCUUGACUAAUGCCCUAUGCACGUUUAUGGAUUUGAUGAACCGGGUGUUCAGGCCUUAUGUUGAUUCCUUUGCCAUUGUCUUCAUUUAUGAAAUAUUGAUUUACUCACGUAGCUUGGGGAGCACGAGCAGCAUUUGAGAGUGGUGCUUCAGACAUUGCGAGAACAGAAUCUAUAUGCUAUGUUCUCCAAGUUUGCAUUUUGGCUAGAGUUUGUGGCAUUCUUGGGGCAUGUUGUAUCAAGAGAGGGUAUUAAGGUGGAUCCCAAGAAGAUUGAGACAGUUCAAAGUUGGCCUCAUCCCACUUUGGUGACUAAGAUCAGGAGUUUCCUGGGGUUAACAAGUUAUUAUUGCCGGUUUGUGCAGGGUUUUUCAUCCAUUGCAACACCUUUGACUAGAUUGACCUAAAAGGGUGCUCCGUUUUGUUGGUCCGAUGAUUGUGAGGCGAGCUUUCAGAAGCUCAAGACAGCUUUGACUAUAGCACCAGUUCUAGUGUUGUCUUCUGGUUUGGGGAUGUAUACGAUGUAUUGCGAUGCUUCACGUAUUGGCUUCGGUCGUGUAUUGAUGCAGGAGGGGCGAGUUAUUGCAUAUGAUUUGCGUCAUCUGAAGAUUCAUGAGAAAAAUUACCCUGUGCAAGACAUAGAGUUAGCCGCGAUUAUUCAUGCUCUUAAGAUCUGGAGGCAUUAUCUUUAUGGGGUGUCAUGUGAGGUUUACACUGAUCAUCGCAGCUUACAACAUUUGUUCAAGCAAAGGGAUCUCAAUUUGAGGCAGUGUAGAUGUCUUGAGUUACUUAAGGAUUAUGACAUCACCAUUCUUUAUCAUAUGGGCAAGGCAAAUGUGGUUGCGAAUGCCUUAAGUAGGAAGGCAGAGAGUAUGGGUAGCGUAGCAUUUAUUUCAGUAGAGGAGAGGCCACUAGCUUUGGAAAUUCAGUCCUUGGCUAACAGACUUAUGAGGUUGGACAUUUCAGAGCCCAGCCGAGUUCUUGCAUGUGUUGCUGCCUAGUCUUCACUAUUACAACAGAUCAAGGCUCGACAGUUUGAUGAUCUGCACUUGGCAGUCCUUAGAGAAACGAUACUACAGGGUGGUGCCAAGGAGGUUUCAAUUGGCGAGGAUGGUGUUCUACGACUCCAGGGUCAUCUAUGUGUUCCUAAUAUCGAUGUCUUGAGGGAGAGAUUCUAGAGGAGGUACACAGUUCUCGGUAUUCCAUUCAUCCAGGUGAUACGAAGAUGUAUCAUGACAUGAGGUAGCAUUAUAGGUGGCGACAGAUGAAGAAAUAUAUAGUUGAGUGUGUGUCUAGGUGCCUUAAUUGCCAGCAGGUUAAGUAUGAGCACCAUAGGCCAGGUGGCUUACUCCAGCAGAUGACUAUACUUGAGUGGAAAUGGGAGCGCAUUACUAUGGACUUCGUAGUUUGGUUUCCGCGGGUGUUGCAAAAGUUUGAUGCAGUUUGGGUCAUUGUCGACAGGUUGACCAACUCGGCACACUUCAUUCCGAUUGCAACUACAUAUACUUCGAAGAAGUUGGCCCAGAUUUAUAUUCGGGAGAUAGUUCGGUUGCACGGUAUGCCUGUUUCCAUCAUACCAGAUAGAGGUCCCCAGUUCACUUCACAUUUCUGGAGAGCCGUUCAGAGUAAGUUGGGAACCCGUGUAGAACUCAGCACUACAUUUCACCACAGACUGACGGGCAGUCAGAACAGACAGUUCAGAUAUUAGAGGUCAUGCUCAGGGCAUGUGUGAUUGACUUUGAGGGACAGUGGGAUCAGUUCUUGCUUUUGGCCGAGUUUUCUUACAAUAACAGUUAUCAGUCCAACAUCGAGAUGGCUCCAUUUGAGGCUUUUAUGGUCGGCGAUGUUGUUCUCCUAUUGGGUGGUUUGAGCCCGGCGAGGCUAAGUUAUAUGGUAUCGAUUUGGUGAAGGAUGCCUUGGAAAAGGUAAAGUUGAUUCAGGAGCGACUCUGCAUAGCACAGUCCAGACAGAAGAGUUACGCGGAUCAGAAGAUGCGUGAUAUAUCAUUUAUGGUAGGCGAGAAGGUUCUCUUGAAAGUCUCGCCGAUGAAGGGCAUUAUGAGAUUCCGGAAGAAGGGCAAACUGAGCCCAGGGUUUAUCGGCCCAUUUGAGGUAUUGAGGCGGGUAGGGGAGGUUGCUUAUGAGCUUGCUUUACCUCCCAGCCUAUCAAGGGUUCAUCCGAUAUUUCACGUGUCUAUGCUCCGGAGGUAUCACGCCAACUUGUCACAUGUGUUAGACUUUAGCACUAUUCAGCUAGAUAAGAGCUUGUGUUAUGAGGAGGAGCCAAUUGCCAUUGUUGCUAGACAGGAUCGCCAGUUGAGGUCUAAGAGGAUUUUCGCAGUAAAAGUUCAGUGGAGGGGCCAACCAGUCGAGGAAGUGACCUAUGAGUCCGAGAAGGACAUACGGAGCAGAUAUCCAUACUUAUUCAACACUUUAGGUAUGAAUCUAAACCCGUUCAAGGAUGAACGCUUAUUUAAGAGGUGGAGAACGUAAUGAACCAACCGGUCGUUUUAAUUUCUAGAACCUCGUUCCCCUAAAUGAGACUUCCCGUACUUGCUUUGACACCCCAAACUUGAAGAGGCGUGGCCAACACCCGAUAAUGUACUCAGCUCGAGCGUACCACUCUAUAACUGUGAUUUCUAGAGAGGUAACCCUCAACCUAGGCCGAUGAGGCCAUAUUCUAAAUCAUCUGAAAAUAACAUCUCUCUUAUCUAUGGGGUAAACAUACCUAAAAGAUGAUAUAUAUAACAGUUAAGGCCGAUGAAGCCAAUAUGAACAUCUACUAAUAUAAAAAAUAUACAAGACUCGUCUACAAGCCUCUAGAGAUAGCUGAACUGUAUCAUGAUCGGGACAGGGCCUCAACCUACCCAUCAAACCUGUAUAUAUAAAAUGGACUCCAAGGUCUAGACCUGGUAACUCCGGGGAAGUAGAGCUUACCAACCAAGCUGAUGUUUGGCUCUGUCUACUGGGAAGGUCUAUCCAGCUGUCUAUCAGGACCUGCAUGCAUGAAAUGCAGUGUCCCCAGCAAAUGGACGUUAGUACAAAAUAAUGUACUGAGUAUGUAAGGCAACAGAAUAACUGAAAGUUGAAACUGAACUAAUAAUCUAAUAACUUAAUGUAACUGGGAGUCAAAGAUAAUAUGAAGAUAUGCUUACCUACUGAUACUGAUUCAAGUCUCUCAAUAUAGUAAUUAGUAAAAUAGUUGUCCGGCCUUAUAAGGCUCGGUAUGUGUAACUGCUCUGCCGUAGUAGGCUUGCACAUAAGUGCUUGGCCAUACUAAGCUCUGUAUCUCGUCCAUUCUAGGCUAGAUCAUAGGCGCUCGGCCAUAGUAGGCUCGAUAUAUAACUCACCAUCUGAUCAGAGGUUGCCCAAUAGGGGCCUGCCCAUCGAUUAUAGCUCGAUGAUGGUGAAAAUAUUGUAAUACUAUAUAUAUAUAUAUAUAGACUAUCUGUUCUCUUCACUUAAAGAAAACAAAACUAAACUGAAUAUGAAGUCCCGAUAUGGGAGAAUACUGUAGCUUAUGUUACCAGGAAAAUGUACAUAAAUUCAGGAAUAUGAAUUUCUCUUUAUGUCUCAUUAUCAAACACAUGUAGUUACUGGAUCAUGCCAAAAUGAAAGAAAGAUUUAGCCUUAACAUACUUUAACUUUGUUGAGUCCUUAAUACCUUCCAAGAAAUUCUUCAAACAACUCAAUUAAUUUACCACAACAUAAGGAGAUUCAAAAUCAGUGCUAAGUAAAGGCUAAGUCUGCAACUUAAACUAUUAGCUUGUUUAUGUAAAUUUUGGCAGCGUCUCCCUUGUAACAAGACCCUCCUCCAAUACCAUAUAUCAACAACAGCAAGAACACAAUAAUAACAACUUGUAUUCAUAUUGUUCCAACCUUAUCUCCAUCUCAAUAUACCACAAAAUAGCCCACAUACCCUAAUUACUUCAAACAUAAAACGACAACCAAAGUAGUGUCAAACAACCUAAAAAUGUAACGACGAACGACCAGUCAACCACCCUACUAUUAUGUGGUGUUUCUCCACACCCUUUCUCCCCCCAAACUCCAUAAAAUUAGUAGAAAAAUAGACAACCCAACAGCAACACGAAACAGCCCAGAAAACAGUCCCACAAGUUCAACAACUCAAAAUUGAUUUUUCAGUUUACAAAAACAUGUUUCAAAAUGUACUGUUCCGAGAUACAGAGCCUAGUAUGGCCAAGUGGAUAUGAGUGAGCCAACUACGGUAGAGCAGUUACACAUACCAAGCCUUAUAAGGCCGGACAACUACUUUACUUACUAUAUGGAGAGAUUUGAAUCAGUAUUAGUAGGUAAGCAUAUCUUCAGAUUAUCUUUGACUCCCAGUUCCAUUAAGUUAUUAUAUUAUUAGUUCAGUUUCAGCUUUCAGUUAUUCUGUUGUCUUACAUACUUAAUACAUUAUUUCAUAUUGACGUUCCUUUGCUAGGGACACUACAUUUCAUGCCUGCAUGUCCUGAUAGACAGUUGGAUAGGCCUUCCCAGUAGAAAGAGCUAAACAUCAGCUUGUUUGGUAAGCUCCACUUCCCUGGAGUUACCAGGUCUAGAUCUUGGAGUCCAUUUUAUAUAUACAAGUUUAAUGGGUAGGUCGAGGCCCUGUCCCGACCAUGAUACCGUUCAGCUAUCUCUAAAGGCUUGUAGACGUGUCCUAUAUAUUUUUUAUAUCAGUAGAUGUUCAUGGCGGCUUCAUUGGCCUGCUCAAUUAUAUAUAUCAGCUUUUGGGUAUGUUUGCCCCAUAGAUAAGAGAGAUGUUAUUUUCAGAUGAUUCAGAAUAUGGCGUCAUCGGCCUAGGUUGAGGGUUAUCUCUCCAGAAAUCAUAGUUACAGAAUGGUAUGCUCGGGCCGAGUACAACACCAGGUGCCAGCCACGCCUCUCCAAGCUUGGGGCAUGACAUGUUUUUACUGAUUUAUGGCUUGCGGGGAUGGUUAGUUCGUGAUUUAGAGGGGUUCGGGGUGAAAUCAGAACACUUGGUUCCUUAAUUUGGCCUAAAAGGCCAAGUUUGACUUUGGUCAUAUUUUGAGUAAACGACCUCGGAAUUAGGAUUUGACGGUUCCAAUAGGUUCGUAUGAUGAUUUUGGACUUGGACGUAUAUUCGGAUCGGGUUUUGGAUGACCUGGGAGCAUUUUGGUGCCUAAUAGCGGAAGUUGGUUCUUGAAGGUUUUAAAAGUUCUUUAAAAUUUGGUUUGGAGCGGGUUUCAGUGAUAUGGAGGUCCAAACGGAAUUCUGAGAUCGGAAAUAGUUCUGUAAUAUCAUUUAAGACUUGCACGUAAAAUUUGGUGUCAUUCUGGGUGGUAUAAAUAUGUUUCGAUGCAUUGGAAGUAAAUUGAAGAACUUGAAGAUCUUAAGUUUGAUUCAAUUGGUUUUAGGUUAUGAUUCUUAGCUUUAACGUUGUUUCGGGCGUUCCGAGAGUUCGAGCGAGUCCGUUUUAUGAUUCCAAACUUGUUGGUAUGUUCGGUCGGGGCCCUAGGGGCCUCGAGUGCCAAUCUGACGAGGCUCAGACCAAGUUGAGAAUUUGGAGUAACAGUUGAAUGCACCAGGUCUGUCAUAAUCGCACCUGCACUUGGCUAACUGCAGGUGCGAGCCAAGCCUCGCAGAAGCUGCGAAGGAAGGGCUGACAAGGAAGGGUAGCCCAGGUUCUGCAGAUGCGGCCCAUCCUCCAUAGAAGUGGGGCCGCAGAAGCGGUCACCCGUCCGUAGAUGCAACACCAGCCGGCCCAGGCUAUUUUUGCAAAAGCGGACUCUUGUCCGCAGAAGCGAGGGCGUAGAUGCAGCCCUUUGACCGCAGGUGCAGAAAUCACCGGAGGCAGUGAGCCUCAUUUAAUACAGGCUUAGGCCAAUUUUAUCAUAUUUUCUUCCACACUUGGGCAAUUGGAGAGCUUUUAAGGAGGGAAUUUUGACCUAACUUUGUGAGGUAAGUAAUUUUAUUUAAUGUGAGUUUAAUACAUAGAUUAUGAGUAGAUUUUAAUAUAAACAUUGAUAGAAAUCAUGGGUUUAGAUGAAAAUCCUAGGGUUUAAUAAAAAUGAGAUUUUACCACAAAAAUAAUUAUGGAAUUUAGGAAAAAUCAUAUAUAUUUAUGUUCCUUAGAGUAUGGGUAACAACUUUCUUCGAACAUUUUUAAAAUUCAGGCACGUGGACCUGUGGUGAAUUUUAUAAAUCUUGCAUUUUAGGUUGGGUAGUCACUUAGAUAUUUAGAAUAUAAAUUUUUGAACACAUAUUGAUUAGUUUUUACAUUAUUUGAAUAGUUUUGAAUUUGCUCGGCUCCGAUUUGAGGGUUUGAGCACAUUCUUAAAUUUGGAAUUAGGUCGUGAGACGAAGUAAGUCUCCUUUCUAACCUUAUAAGAGAGAACUAACCUUAUAGGUGAAUUAAAUAAAUGUGUGUACCUAUUUGUGGGGGCUACGUACGUACGAGGUGACGAGAGUCCGUACGUAGCUACUAUUAUGGUAUUGUCCGGGUAGUUUAGGUCCCGUAUCAUGCUUUACUUGAAAUGUUUGCGCCCUUACUUGCUAAUUCAAUUACUUAAGUCGCCAGAACUUGAUCAAAGAAGCGUAAAAGGUUAAAUUCACUUACUUGAAAUAUUUAAUGGAAUUCUUGACUGUAAAUGUGAACUUUGUGUUUCCUUUGAAAAUAAAUAGCUAUUUGUGGAUCGGGCCGAACGCCUCGGUAGUAAAUAGAUGCAACUAUGGUUCGCGUCGUUCGACCCUCCGGUAGUGCACAGUUUAAUUAUGGUGAAUUAGGUCGUACGACCUCGGCAUAAUUUGUGCAUGAUAGUUCUUUGGAACUCUCCAUAAUUGUAAUUGCUUAAAUGCCUUGAAAUUUAAGUUGUUAAAUGAUAUAACUGACUUCGAACUUGUGAAAGAAGAACUUAACAUUUCCUGUUUUUGAGCUUUCAAUAUUAUUCCUGAAAUCCACGCUUAGUAUAACACUUUAAUUAUAGUAUUGUUAGCCCAUAGUAAGUGUCAAAGUCGACCCCUCGUCACUACUUCUUCGAGGUUAGACUGGAUACUUACUAGGUACAUGUUGUCUAUGUACUCAUACUACACUUUUGUACUUAAUUGUACAGGAUGUGAGGCAGGUGCAUCUAGUUACCCGUCCGAUGCGCAUAGUUGAUCCCACCUCGAGACUUCACAGUGAGUUGCCUUCCGAGUCGUUCUGCAGCAGCUGGAGUCUCCCUUAUGUUUUACUUUUCUGUCUAUUUCCUUUCACACAGUAGGCUAGCAUUCUUUUGUAUAUUCUACUAGAUUGCCCACACACUUGUGAUACCAGGUCUUGGCACACAUACUAGUACACUUAUGAUUUUGGGUUUGCUUAUAUGAUUUCAAUUUGUACUUAUUGCUUCAGUUUAUUUAUGUUACACUUGCAAAUUUCUAAAUCUAUUUAAGAAAUAAGGAAAUGUUACUACCUAAAAGUUUAUUUAAACAGGAAACCACUAGUUGAUCCGUGUUGUAUUGCCUGACAAUGAUGUUGGGUGCCAUCACGCCUAUAAUGGAAUUGGGUCGUGACAUCAUAGUCAUAAUAAUUUAUUUAAUUAAUGCGUCUAAAGCAAGCUACAAUAUUAUUGUGUUGUUCAUUUCCUAAAUUAUUUUGAGAUUAAUGCGAUGCCAAAUUUAUGGACAAAACAUUAUUAGGGAGUAAAUAGGAUAUCUAACAUGAUCUAUUAUGGCCCAUUCUUAUUCCUUGCAGAAAAAAAACAACUCCAAUUUUUCCAUCUAUCCAAUUUAACAAGUCACUUAAAUCACCAAUUCAACAGGCUAAAACAAAGGCAACAUAAUGUAACCAUAUAAGUAAGAAAACUAAAUUAGAGUCCAUAGUGUAUUUAACAGAAAUCGUCCAACCAAAACUUACAUGUAUUCAACCGAAUUAAUCUUUAAAACCAAUAUAUAGCCCAAAUAAUAUGUAAUAAGUACACAAUUAAUACGAAGAGAUCAAGUAGUUUUCAUAGAGCAAAUGGAAUUUGUCACGAGCAAAUAGAAACACUAAUAUAUCAAAGCCAGUGUAUACUUAAAGUGUAAAUAAAUACUGAGAAAAAUGAAUUCGAAUGAACCUAUAUAUUGAUAAAUAAAGCUGAAAAUUUGCAACUCAGUCGGAAUAACAAAGCAACAAUCAUUGGACUGAAACGCCGAAAUUGCAAACCGAAAAACUGGAAACCAAAAUGAAAGGCAAAAAGUGCCGCACCCAAACUGAUAAAAAGAACAACAGAAGCAGUUGUUUGAUAGAGAAAUUCGCCGGACACUAGAAAUGUUUUCGAUUCUGGUGAACAAGCACGCCGAUGGCCCAAAUGUUUUUUUUUACUUUGAUAGAGUCUGUAUUUAUCCCUUACGACCCUCCUCCCUGUUUUUCAGCAAUGGCUUCCUUGGAGAAUUGUGCUCUAAUUCAGUGGAGUCAACAUAUUUCCUUGUUGGCUUUUCAUUAAUCAAAGACACUUUUGACAGAUUCUUUUCCAUUUUUCUUGUGUCCGAUUCAUAUCUGUUUCUUGGGUGAGUGUGUUGUGGCUAAUUUCUCUUGUGAAGAAGGGGUGGGGGUGCUGAAGCUUAGAGGAAUUACAGGGGAGUGGCCGAUUUUUGAGUUCUGCUGAAUGGUCCAAAGAGAUCCUCUUUUGGGUUGGGUUGGGGGAGGGUCGGUGGCUGCUCUAGAGUCUUAAAGAUUAGUUUUAAUUUGUGUUAUAUAAGGG
rnacentral:lncRNA from 1 species